UCUUCUUCUCUUUCUUCUUCGUUUUAGUUUAAGGUAGGCGCAGACAACGUUCAAAUGUUACGCCACCUACUGUUUCCCCGCUUCUUCUUCUGACGUUAAUUGAUGGCAAACAACGCGUGAUGUCCGCCGCCGUCUGAUAGAAAGCAUAAAUUUUCUCAAUUGCCUUCAUUUGAAAGUUGCUCAUAGCCAAAAAUGGCUAUUUUCAGAUGGACAUAUAACUUUAUCUAAAUUCUGAGAUGUGAAUCUCAACAUCCUCGCGAGAUUUAGCACGACACCCCAUGAAUCUGUCCAAUCAUUUUUGCUCUUCCUGGAAAACACGCAUGCGCAUUUAGUGGGCGGAUGUGACUUGAUUUCGAUUGGAAGAAACAAUUCAGCAUUGAAGGAAUAACAACUGAAAUCAUCCCGUCCUGCAGCCACCAAUGUGAAUGUGGAAAAUGACGACCAAUGUUUAAAGCGUGCAUAUCACAACAUACAAGAUGCCGUCAUGGCGACACACAACUUAUCACCCAAGAUGCUCGUCACUCCUGUUGCAUGCUGGCAGCAGGGUAACACUGCAGGAGGCGGUGCCUCCUGAUGGAACCCAAAACACUGCUCUUCAAAUGGAACACAUCCAACCUUCAGGUGUCCAUGCAGGUUGUACCACUCUGGAACAUCAAGCCUCUCCCUACGUACCAGCACAUGAAAUUAUUUCUACUUCUAACCAUCAAAGACAUGGAAAACCAUUUUCCAGUUCAGCCCUCCAGAUGCUCCUGAUGGCCUAACAACUGAACUACAUGUCGAUGCUGAGUAUGAUCUAUCUCAAUCAUUUGAGGAAGCUCUCCCUGAUAUAGGAGAUUGGAUGUACAAUGACGGACAUACGUUUAAUGAAGGAUUUGAAGAUAGUUUGAGUGAGGAGUGUGCAGAAGAGUCACAUUUCAAGGACACAACAGACAAACCAAUAAAUGACAAUGCAUCAGAAACCGUGGCAGAGUGUCUUCUGAUCAUCAUGGGUUAUGUAAACUGUCAUAAAGUCACUGAUAAGGCCCUAAGUGAUAUGCUCAAAAUGUUCAAGUUGCUUUGUCCCGAUAGUCUGAACACAGACUGCUUAAACAGUGUGCAGAAGUUCAAAAACUUUUUUUUAUCCCGCUCUGCAUCAACGCCUAUUAUAUUACAUAAAUCCUCCAGUAAUUGUUUUGGACCAAUUGAAAGUAAACAAAUAAAAUGCCUGUUUUGUGGGACCAGUGUGUCAGAAGAAAGAUUAUCAUCCUUUUUUAAAGUAUGGACAGAUUGAUUUCUUCUUUACCAUAGCACAAUCAUGUGCCAAAUGGGCCCUUGUUCGUGAUUUUAAACAUGCAGGUUUUUCUUUGCUGCAAGAUAGUGUAACAUAUGAGACAUGCAGUCCUGUUAUUCCCCUAUUGGAAACCUCUGCCAGUACAGUAGUAUCCUUGGAUGACAUAUUGGGUAAAGUUGUUUUACUUGACUCCACAUUCAUGCCUGGCAUUGUGUUUGCAGUUAAAUUCCCAAACACACUUGAAAAGCUUUAAAUAAUUAAGAACUGAACUGGCUUAAGAAGCCACAAAUCAAAUAUUUGAUCAUUGUUAUAAAUGCUCUGAAAAUACACACUGAUGUGAUGUUGCCGUGGAUGCUGUAAAAGUCUGUAAAUAUGUACUGUAUAUGGAGUACCAUUGUUAAUUAAGUUUUUGAAUUGUGUGUCAUAUUUCAGUGGCCAAUAUAUUAAAUUUACUUUUGAAAUAAAA